GACAGAGGUGCCAAGCGUUUAGGCGGAAUCACUGGGCUUAAAGCGUGUGUAGGCGGCUCGUUUAGUACCUUGUGAAAUCCCACGGCUCAACCGUGGAACUGCUCGGUAUACUGGCGGGCUUGAGCCAUCUAGGGGCUACCGGAACAAAUGGUGGAGCGGUGAAAUGCGUAGAUAUCAUUUGGAACGCCAAUGGUGAAAACAGGUAGCUGGGGAUGUGCUGACGUGAGACACGAAAGCCAGGGGAGCGAACGGG
rnacentral:rRNA from 1 species